rnacentral:snoRNA from 1 species
UGCAGUCAAGUCAAAUUCAGUCCCUGCCCUGUCAUGGUGGGAACUGGCCUAGAUGGCUGCCAUAACAAGUUCUGCUGCUCAUGGACCCCUGGUCUCCUAUCCUGGAACCUGGGGAUAAGUUUGGCUGUAGACACUA